UAAAAACUACAGGGGUACAAGUGAAAAAUGAAAACAUGUUGGGGGCACUAGUGACAUACAAUUUUCUUCUGAUGCAGUUGACAUUUUUUUAGCUAAAAGAGAAGCCAAAACCCUUUGGAAUCGCCUAAAACCCCCUACAAAACGCAGAUUAUACUUAUAAUUUUUCACUCUUUUGUGUCCUAAAUAAAUCUUCUAAAAUCCCAUUCAUUCAUUUUUGUCGUACAUUUUCAUCUUGAAGUUGAAAAGGGGAGAAAAUGGCACUGGGUUUGCUACUGGGUAUAGGGAGAGCUUUCAGAAAGAAGAGCACAGCGUCUCUUGACAUUCUAACUGCUAAAACAGGUCCAAGAAAUUUCUAUAAAGGAAAGAAUUGCAAGCCCACUGGUUUUCAUACUCGUAAAGGUGGUUAUGUUCUUGUGCAAGGAAAACUACCAAAUUAUGUAGUUCCAAAUUUGAGGGAUUUUCAGCUUGGUGCACUAGAUUCCCGCUAUGCGCGGGAUUUGGGGAAGGGUAGGACCACAAAGGUCUAUGGUACGUAGGACCACAAAGGUUGUUUCCACGGCUCGAACCCGUGAUCUCUUGGUCACAUGGCCGCAACUUUACCAGCUGAAGCCAUACGUAUCUCAGUGUGCUAGAGAAACUCAAACUAUGGGUGCUGCUGAUGCUGCUAAAUGAUUCUUUCAAAAAGCUGAGUGGGAUGUGCUUACUCAAACAACUAUUACUAAUCUUCCUUUUGUGCUUCAGAUUUUCAAUGUGCACCUAGUUUUCGAAAUGCAAUUUCCUGUUUUAUAAGCUCAUUCCUUUUGCACAAAGUGUUGCAUUUAGACGGUGUCAUCAGCCAACUCCUUGUUCUUUUUCUUAGACCACACUCUCUGUGCAUGUAUUUGGUACUUGGAAAUGGCGCAGGUGCUAUGCGAGAACAAUUAGGCGAUCUGGAUUUAUGAAUUAUAAUAGAGUAGUCAUUGUUAAAAUGGAAACAAUUGGGGGAAGAACACACAGGGAAUGAAUGGAAGAACAAAAAGUUAGUAGAAGAAAGGCCUUUUAAUGUAUUUAGUGAAGGUGUUCAUCUAUUUGUAUGAAUCUUCUGUCAUUUUGUAAGUUUCAAGCCUUUAUAGGUCUCUGGUUCAAGCCGUGGAAUCAACCACUGCUUGUAUAAGGGUAGACUUAGUAGAAGAAAGGCCUUUUAAUGUAUUUAGUGAAGGUGUUCAUCUAUUUGUAUGAAUCUUCUGUCAUUUUGUAAGUUUCAAGCCUUUAUAGGUCUCUGGUUCAAGCCGUGGAAUCAACCACUGCUUGUAUAAGGGUAGACUUAGUAGAAGAAAGGCCUUUUAAUGUAUUUAGUGAAGGUGUUCAUCUAUUUGUAUGAAUCUUCUGUCAUUUUGUAAGUUUCAAGCCUUUAUAGGUCUCUGGUUCAAGCCGUGGAAUCAACCACUGCUUGUAUAAGGGUAGACUUUGUAGACUGCAUACGUCACAUCCUCUUGGGUUGCAGUUUCAUCUCGGCACUUUUCUCUGUUUCUUUUUAA